GUGAGGAAUAUUGGACAAUGGAUGGAAAUCUGAUCCAGCCAUGCCGCGUGCAGGAAGACGGCCCUAUGGGUUGUAAACUGCUUUUAUACGGGAGCAAUAAGGUCUAUGCAUAGAUUGAUGAGAGUACCGUAUGAAUAAGCAUCGGCUAACUCCGUGCCAGCAGCCGCGGUAAUACGGAGGAUGCGAGCGUUAUCCGGAUUUAUUGGGUUUAAAGGGUGCGUAGGCGGCUUUGUAAGUCAGCGGUGAAAUUUUGCAGCUUAACUGUAAAAGCGCCGUUGAUACUGUGAAGCUAGGAUUUGGUUGCUGUGGGCGGAAUGUGUGGUGUAGCGGUGAAAUGCAUAGAGAUCACACAGAAUAUCGAUUGCGAAGGCAGCUCACAAAGCCAAUAUUGACGCUGAGGCACGAAAGUGUGGGGAUCAAACAGGAUUAGAUACCCCUGUAGUCC
rnacentral:rRNA from 1 species